GCAAACUUGGUCAUUUAGAGGAAGUAAAAGUCGUAACAAGGUUUCCGUAGGUGAACCUGCGGAAGGAUCAUUACACACUGUGCCAUACCUGCAGGUUUCGUACCUGCAGGUAUAGCUCAGCCCACCCUUGUCUAACUUUACCAUUUGUGAAUCCCUCGGCAGGGACGCCUGCCGCCGGGACCCCUAAACCCUACUGUAUUCAAGUAUCAAAAUAUUCUGAAUUAAAACAAAAUUAUCACAACUUUCAACAAUGGAUCUCUUGGUUCUGGCAUCGAUGAAGAACGCAGC
rnacentral:misc_RNA from 1 species